rnacentral:ncRNA from 1 species
CGGUCUUCCAUGCGGAAGUUCAAAAGGGAAGCCGGUGAAAAUCCGGCGCUGCCCCCGCAACUGUGAGCGGUGAGUCCGGCUUCGUUGACCACUGGGCGCUCGAUGCGCCCGGGAAGGUGAAGUCGGGCGUUAGCCAGCCGCGAGCCAGGAGACCUGCCGUUCCG